UUGAACGCUGGCGGCAUGCUUUACACAUGCAAGUCGAACGGCAGCGGGGGCUUCGGCCUGCCGGCGAGUGGCGAACGGGUGAGUAAUGCAUCGGAACGUACCCAGUCGUGGGGGAUAACUACGCGAAAGCGUAGCUAAUACCGCAUACGCCCUGAGGGGGAAAGCGGGGGACCUUCGGGCCUCGCGCGAUUGGAGCGGCUGAUGUCGGAUUAGCUAGUUGGUGGGGUAAAGGCCUACCAAGGCGACGAUCCGUAGCUGGUCUGAGAGGAUGAUCAGCCACACUGGGACUGAGACACGGCCCAGACUCCUACGGGAGGCAGCAGUGGGGAAUUUUGGACAAUGGGCGCAAGCCUGAUCCAGCCAUGCCGCGUGAGUGAAGAAGGCCUUCGGGUUGUAAAGCUCUUUCGGCCGGGAAGAAAUCGUGGUCUCUAACAUAGGCCAUGGAUGACGGUACCGGACUAAGAAGCACCGGCUAACUACGU
rnacentral:rRNA from 1 species